UACGUAGGUGGCAAGCGUUGUCCGGAUUUACUGGGCGUAAAGAGCGCGCAGGCGGUCGUUCAAGUCGCGUGUGAAAGCCCCCCGGCUCAACUGGGGAGGGUCACGCGAUACUGAUCGACUCGAAGGCAGGAGAGGGUAGUGGAAUUCCCGGUGUAGUGGUGAAAUGCGUAGAUAUCGAGAGGAACACCUGCGGCGAAGGCGGGUUGCUGGGCUGACACUGACGCUGAACUGCGAAAGCUAGGGGGAGCGAACGGGG
rnacentral:rRNA from 1 species